rnacentral:rRNA from 1 species
AGCGAACGCUGGCGGCAGGCUUAACACAUGCAAGUCGAGCGGGCACUUUCGGGUGUCAGCGGCGGACGGGUGAGUAACGCGUGGGAACGUGCCCUCUGGUUCGGAAUAACUCAGGGCAACUUGAGCUAAUACCGGAUACGCCCUUUUGGGGAAAGGCUUGCUGCCGGAGGAUCGGCCCGCGUCUGAUUAGCUAGUUGGUGAGGUAACGGCUCACCAAGGCGACGAUCAGUAGCUGGUCUGAGAGGAUGAUCAGCCACACUGGGACUGAGACACGGCCCAGACUCCUACGGGAGGCAGCAGUGGGGAAUAUUGGACAAUGGGCGCAAGCCUGAUCCAGCCAUGCCGCGUGAGUGAUGAAGGCCUUAGGGUUGUAAAGCUCUUUUAUCCGGGACGAUAAUGACGGUACCGGAGGAAUAAGCCCCGGCUAACUUCGUG